AUACGGAGGGGGUUAGCGUUGUUCGGAAUCACUGGGCGUAAAGCGCGCGUAGGUGGAUCAAUUAGUUGAGGGUGAAAUCCCGGGGCUCAACCUCGGAACUGCCUUCAAUACUGUUGAUCUUGAGACCGAGAGAGGUGAGUGGAAUUCCUAGUGUAGAGGUGAAGUUCGUAGAUAUUAGGAAGAACACCAGUGGCGAAGGCGGCUCACUGGCUCGGUACUGACGCUGAGGUGCGAAAGCGUGGGGAGCAAACAGGAUUAGAAACCCUAGUAGUCC
rnacentral:rRNA from 1 species